rnacentral:rRNA from 1 species
CUGCCCAAUGUGAAUUUAUAAAUGGCUGCAGUAUAAAUAACUGUACUAAGGUAGCAUAAUAAUUUGUUUUUUAAUUAAAAACUAGAAUGAAUGAUUUAAUGAAAUAAAAUCUGUAUCAAUAAAAUUAAUUGAAUUUAUUAUUUUAGUAAAAAAACUAAAAUAAAUUUAUAAGACGAUAAGACCCUAUAGAAUUUUAUUUUUUUUUAAAAAAUUUUUUUAAUAAAAAAUUUAAUUGGGGUAAUUUAAAAAUUUAUUAAAUUUUUUUUUUAAAAAACAUAAAUUAAUGAAUAAUUUUAUAUUUAAUAUAAAUAAAAUAAUCUUAAAAUUUAAAUUUUUAAAAUUAAUUACCUUAGGGAUAACAGCAUAAUUUUUUUUUUAAGUUCUUAUUUAUAAAAGAGUUUAUGACCUCGAUGUUGAAUUAAAAUUUAAAUUAGAUGAAAAAAUCUAAAUUUUAAGUCUGUUCGACU